rnacentral:other from 1 species
ACCGGCCUGCAAAGCAGGUAGGACGGUCCACGCUGGUUGAACCUACAUUCAUUGAACAGGGAACUCGACUCGACAAUCGGCUCGGUGCGCAGUGUCCGCCAGUCCGGAAUGCCUAAAGAGCCGCGGCGGGUUCCCACCGUCUUAGGACGGGUUCACCGGCGCACCGUCUUACGGCCCAGUGGGUCGGUU